GGGUGUGCGGUGGCGUGGGCGUGUGAGGUGGUGUUGGCUUUGGGGUAGGCGUGUGCGGUGGUGUAGGCUUGGGAGAGUGUGGCGGCGGAGGGCAGGGCACGGACGGCGGAGGCGUCAGCUUACGCGGCGGUGGCGGUGGAGGCUUUGGUUUGGGGCAUGAUGGGCAAGCCGCGGACGGCGUGAGCUGCACGGCUAGGGAGAGCAGCGUCACCAGCAGGAGCGGGGCAAUCCGGGCCAUGCUCUUGGAGCUUGAGGCCUCAGAGUACGGGGUAGCCACCGCUCGAUCUAUCCAAUUUUCCAAUUUCUUGCUCUUGGCUAACCCAGUAUCUU
rnacentral:rRNA from 1 species